GCUUUAUUAGCGGGGAUUCAAAUGUAUUUUUGUUUGAGUCAAAAGUCAUCGGUAUGCAAAAGAGUGCGGUUCCCUUGGUUGAGCU
rnacentral:tRNA from 1 species